rnacentral:rRNA from 1 species
UACGUAGGGUGCGAGCGUUAAUCGGAAUUACUGGGCGUAAAGCGUGCGCAGGCGGUUCGUUGUGUCUGAUGUGAAAGCCCCGGGCUUAACCUGGGAAUGGCAUUGGAAACUGGCGAGCUGGAGUGUGGCAGAGGGGGGUGGAAUUCCGCGUGUAGCAGUGAAAUGCGUAGAGAUGUGGAGGAACACCGAUGGCGAAGGCAGCCUCCUGGGCCAGCACUGACGCUCAUGCACGAAAGCGUGGGGCGCAAACAGG